rnacentral:rRNA from 1 species
UACGUAGGCAGCAAGCGUUGUUCGGAGUUACUGGGCGUAAAGGGUGUGUAGGCGGUUGGAUAAGUGUGGUGUGAAAUCUCCCGGCUUAACUGGGAGGGUGCGCUACAAACUGUCUGACUAGAGUGUGGGAUGGGUAAGUGGAAUUCCUGGUGUGAGCGGUGAAAUGCGUAGAUAUCAGGAGGAACACCGAUAGCGAAGGCAGCUUACUAGACUGUAACUGACGCUGAUGCACGAAAGUGUGGGGAUCAAACAGGG